CGCGUAGGCGGCUUUCUAAGUCAGGGGUGAAAUCCGGCAGCUCAACUGUCGCAGUGCCUUUGAUACUGGAGAGCUCGAGGGAGGUAGGGGUCUGUGGAACUUCCGGUGGAGCGGUGAAAUGCGUUGAUAUCGGAAGGAACGCCGGUGGCGAAAGCGACGGACUGGAUCUCUUCUGACGCUGAGGCGCGAAAGCCAGGGAGCAAACG
rnacentral:rRNA from 1 species